CAAAGUAUUUUAGGUGCAGUAUUUUAUUUCAGCCACUGGGUGGCUUCAUGUUCAUAUUUGUUACAGCUUGUUUUGAGUAGAGUGUUGCGGUUCUCAAGGCUGACUUCGUUCAUAACUUCUUUCUAUUGUGUGCGUCCAUUGAAUGAAACCACACACACGCCACACACACACCUGUGCCCUUAUAUGUAUAGCUGAACCUCCAGAGCUAAUUAAAACCCAAGUAAAGCUCAAUUCUGGACUUGGACAUUCUCUUCUUUCACUAACUCACCUGAACAUAUAUAUCAGCUGUUCUAACCCGAACAGCUGAUCACCCUGGAGUGAUUGUUUAUCCACAACUGAACCAGCUUCAGUCUUCAUUAAAGUAUAGUCCCACGCACGCAGACGAAGCUGAGCACCAUGUUGGAAAAGCUCGGCAUGAAAUACGAAGGCCGGCCUCACUGCGGCCUGGACGACUCCCACAGCAUCGCCCGGAUAGCCGUGCGCAAGCUGCAGGACGGCAGCCAGCUGCGCUUCAACGAGCGCAUGCACCGCGGCCAGCUGCGCCCCGUAACCCCGGCAACAGAGAGCCCGGUACUUUAUUGAACCAGCCUUAAAAUCUGUCUUCACCCACAUUUUAAUUUAAGCUUAAAGCUGUAAGGAGAGUUUAAUAUUUCAGUUUGUGCAGACUUUGCUUCAAGGAGUCCAGCAAAUU